rnacentral:lncRNA from 1 species
AUUCAUUUCUACUUCUAACAUGCAAUUUCUUUUGUGUACAAAAUUACAGUGUUGAAGCUGUAAGCAGACGCAUGUGAUAUUACCCUCCGAAGUGGACGUGGAGUAGAUGAGCAGCAGCUGUACUACUUUGUCUGGCAGUGAUCUCUGGAUGACAAGGUGAAGAACAUUGUGAACCAGGAACACAGUUAGAGAUGCAGUCUGGAAGGCUGGAAAACAGAACAGAGAAUGAUGAGGCUAGAUAAGAGAUCUCCUCUUGUACAAACUGGAAGGCCCAAAGAAACAGGAAUGAAAGAGCUGCAGAAUUCCCUGGAACUCACCUCAGUUCUGGACCAUGGCAACCACUGUGAGAGAGACGACAGUGACUGCAGAGAACCACUAUUUAUAUCACUAAUUAGAUCUCAGUUCGAAGGGCUUCUAUAGUGCAUGAGCCAACAAUGUAUGCAAAGGUAUGUGAUAUCAUCUUGAUAAAAAUUUUCAGUAACUUUUCUAUGUAUACAAAAGUGUUUCAAAAUUGCAGAUGUUGCUCUGUUUUUUUCAGCUUUGAAUACAUAGAAAUGUUGAGGCGUGUCCCAACAAAAUAGUUGUGUACAUUAGGUAAGGACUGCAUAGUUUCUGUUUCACAAUAGACUAAAUCUUUUAUGAUGGUCAUAAAAUUAGGACAGUCUGAUACUGCAUGUGCUGAC